rnacentral:rRNA from 1 species
AGUGAACGCUGGCGGUAGGCCUAACACAUGCAAGUCGAACGGCAGCACAGUAAGAGCUUGCUCUUACGGGUGGCGAGUGGCGGACGGGUGAGGAAUACAUCGGAAUCUACUUUUUCGUGGGGGAUAACGUAGGGAAACUUACGCUAAUACCGCAUACGACCUACGGGUGAAAGCAGGGGAUCUUCGGACCUUGCGCGAUUGAAUGAGCCGAUGUCGGAUUAGCUAGUUGGCGGGGUAAAGGCCCACCAAGGCGACGAUCCGUAGCUGGUCUGAGAGGAUGAUCAGCCACACUGGAACUGAGACACGGUCCAGACUCCUACGGGAGGCAGCAGUGGGGAAUAUUGGACAAUGGGCGGAAGCCUGAUCCAGCCAUGCCGCGUGGGUGAAGAAGGCCUUCGGGUUGUAAAGCCCUUUUGUUGGGAAAGAAAAGCAGCAGGUUAAUACCCCGCUGUUCUGACGGUACCCAAAGAAUAAGCACCGGCUAACUUCGU